GUUUGCACGUCAGGUUUACCUAAUAACGCCGGUUACUAGCUAAGAACUGUUUACUGAGUUUACUAGAUUUCUUGUUUCUUUCUGGAUUUACUAUUUAUAAACCUAUAUUUCUGAAUGGUUAUAAACUGGACUCGACAAGAUGCGUAACAAAACGUAAAACGUGGACGAUGAAAGCGAUUACCGGUCCAAUUUAAGCCAUUGUUAAUAUUCAAAAGAAACACACCCUUGCUGUCUGUCUCAGACGGUCAGAGAUACUUUGUUCAUUUCAAUAUCUGGACACCUCUGGCUGUGAUUUUAAGUCUCGACAAACGAAAGCAAAUUAAGACCACGAUUAUCUCAAACAUGUAAAGACAAGAAAACAGAAUAAUAUCUUCCAAAAAAGAAAAAAGAAAGAAAGAAUUAGAUGUAAUUGGAAUAUUUUGACCGGUCUCGCUGGCCAGGGCCGGCCUUACAUCUUGGGGACCCGGGGCAUUUCAGGUUCGGGGUUCCUUCAACAUAGAAAUUAAAUUACAUGACAAAUAAAAAAAUGAACUAAU